GGAUCACCAGACGAGGAGUCACCUGUCAUCUAUAUAGUAUAUCUGCAGGUUGCUUCACAUUGGUAUCAUGCAUCCCAACUAAAGCUGAGAAGGAGCAUAAUGGAUAGUGACACUGAAAAAUCACAGGGAUAUGGAGUGACAGAAAACGGCAACCGAUCAGAAAUCCCAUUGCUUGUAGGAAUGGUUUUGGUUAUGAGGCCAAGUUGUGUGAGUAUCUCUCUCAAUUUGGAGGUCGUCAGGUUUCUCCUGAAAAAAAAAGUAAUACCAGUUAGCUGUUUAUAGCAAGAUCUCUGAGAGCAGAUCCAGGUGCAAGCUCGUGUCUGUGUGUGCUACCUUACUGAAGAAUCAAGACUGGGU
rnacentral:lncRNA from 1 species